rnacentral:rRNA from 1 species
AGGGUUCGAUUCUGGCUCAGGAUGAACGCUGGCGGCGUGCUUAACACAUGCAAGUCGAACGGGAUCCAUCAGGCUUUGCUUGGUGGUGAGAGUGGCGAACGGGUGAGUAAUGCGUGACCGACCUGCCCCAUGCACCGGAAUAGCUCCUGGAAACGGGUGGUAAUGCCGGAUGCUCCAUCACAUCGCAUGGUGUGUUGGGAAAGCCUUUGCGGCAUGGGAUGGGGUCGCGUCCUAUCAGCUUGAUGGCGGGGUAACGGCCCACCAUGGCUUCGACGGGUAGCCGGCCUGAGAGGGCGACCGGCCACAUUGGGACUGAGAUACGGCCCAGACUCCUACGGGAGGCAGCAGUGGGGAAUAUUGCACAAUGGGCGCAAGCCUGAUGCAGCGACGCCGCGUGAGGGAUGGAGGCCUUCGGGUUGUAAACCUCUUUUGUUAGGGAGCAAGGCACUUUGUGUUGAGUGUACCUUUCGAAUAAGCACCGGCUAACUACGUGCCAGCAGCCGCGGUAAUACGUAGGGUGCAAGCGUUAUCCGGAAUUAUUGGGCGUAAAGGGCUCGUAGGCGGUUCGUCGCGUCCGGUGUGAAAGUCCAUCGCUUAACGGUGGAUCCGCGCCGGGUACGGGCGGGCUUGAGUGCGGUAGGGGAGACUGGAAUUCCCGGUGUAACGGUGGAAUGUGUAGAUAUCGGGAAGAACACCAAUGGCGAAGGCAGGUCUCUGGGCCGUUACUGACGCUGAGGAGCGAAAGCGUGGGGAGCGAACAGGAUUAGAUACCCUGGUAGUCCACGCCGUAAACGGUGGAUGCUGGAUGUGGGGCCCGUUCCACGGGUUCCGUGUCGGAGCUAACGCGUUAAGCAUCCCGCCUGGGGAGUACGGCCGCAAGGCUAAAACUCAAAG